CAGCAGCCCGUCCGUCGUCGGCUCUCGGACUGCUUUCUCUCUCGCCGAGUCAUUGGAAUACAACAAGACUCCCCCACCUGCCGUCAGCAAAUCAUCUGUCUACCUUGUUGCAGGGAGGUUCCCUUCCUCGUGAGGACUAAAUCAACGCCAUAGUUGACCCCGUCUCAGCAAAUGCGGCUAUAUGGUGGUAUCAGCGCGUUCAAUUAGGGUCUUCCCGGAGAAUCAGCAUGCGAGCGAGAUCACAGAGGGGCCGUUGUACAUGCACAGCACAAGGUUGACCAUCUUAUCAAUCGCAGCCCUCGCCUUCGCCUGUGGGCGUGUUAUUCCGCUUUAGGAAAUCCACCGGCGGCCCGGGACCCGUGGACGGAUGAUCCUGCGCGACAGGCUGACUCAGCCCUAUGUGGCUUUUUUGGUCUGCAUUUAUCCAUGGGCAAGUAUGUAAUGUAUGAAGGAGCAUUUGGCCAUUGUUGACCGGGCUUGUUUUAUCUAUUUUUGGGGACAGGAUCUUGGGGCCAGAUUCGGUACAGAGAAGCUCUGGAUGUUAUCAAAAUAGCACGCACGAAUCCGCUCAGUGGGUAUUUUAAUUUUCUCAUGGACAAGCAAGCAAUCAAGCAACUCUCCCUGGGCAGUUAACAGCUGCUAACUGUCUCGGAAUAACUAUAUAUACACAUACAAAAGGUGAUAACCCAUUGACAUGUCGUUGGGAUACUUUCACUUAAAAUGAAGAUAUACCACAUCCAUUAACCACACGCAAGCAUACGUCCCACUUCCCGCUCAUGCUUAGAGACCGGUGUUGGGGAAUCGGAGGACACCCGGCAAUUCUGGAUUUCUGAUCAAUAAUAGAAUUGCACAUCCGUCACGUAGGCAUCCCUCGGUUAUCCUCAAGGUGCUGUCCGCCGUUGCCGUUGUCGCCAACUUGAACGCCCCACACCCUCCAUCGAACAUCUUCAAUAAUAUCCGCCCUAAGCCACAUUCCUUUGAAGGUCUUCCUGCAGCGUUUUUCUGCCGUAGCGAGUUUUGUUCGGUCAUCAUUUGAGUCCAGCCAUGCGAAAAGGAGUCUGAGUUGCCACAGCCGAUCCCUGACCGUAUCAUCCCCAUCGCCUUGACCAGUUGCAGCGUCCACCAAAUGCUGGACCGUCUUUUCAAGCACGAGCCUCGUAUCCACUGCACUUGGACGCAGCCAGGAAACUGGCCAAAUAAUAAUUUCGGAGUGGUCCCUGGCAUAAAUCUCAAUAGGCUGUUGAGAUGGUACUGAGGGUAUCACUAGCGCCUUGUCACCCAUAUCAAGAGGUCGGAAGGUGCGAAGAUUGAAAAUCCACUCCCAGAGGUGGCGUGCGGGGAAUCGGACUUGAAUCGAUGAUUUUCCUUGGGAAUACAAGAUAGGUGCUGCUGCAUUCGGCGUAGUGUUGACUGCCCGAGAGUAACCAGGGGAGGAAGAUGAAGGGAUAUCCUGGACGUCGCUCAAUGCCAUCAGGGAUGAGGAAAAUUCCGAGGUAGAGGAACCAGUAUAAACAGCUCGCCUACGGAGAUAAACAGAUUGGUCACCCAAGCGGAAUUUGUCUCGGAGACCCGGGUUGUCAGCAAAGUCGAGAGUCAGAUCCCAGUGAUCCGGGCUUUGUAUCUUCACAGUAGCGAGAUCAUCUAUAUUAGGGAGUAGGCAUGGUGCUGUUGUAAGCUGACUUUCGCCUGUUUUGAGCGUCAGAGAUACCGGUAUUGUUACCGCACGCCGUGUGUCGAGGUCGCGCGGAACAAGACACCUUGGCUCUGCCGCGAGGACCCACAGAUGGCGAAAGGCUUGGAGAUGGCAUUUGUUGUCAAGAACAGUGGUGGGAAAUACGGGAUAAAAGGAGCAAAGUAGGGCUGCGAUCCCAAGAUUCGAAGUACCCAGCGUAUAUGUUCCACCACCCAAAAACAGCAUACCGAUAGCCAUGUGUGCUGCCAUGUGGCUUCCGUAUGGCGUAUCUGCACUAACGUGGCCAUGAAGUGAUCGAAGACGGCGAAACACUAUGAGGUCUCCAGUUCCAGCCAUGACAGCUGCUGCAGAUAAUGCAAUAAUAUCCUGGCAGUUGCGAACUGCAUUUCGAGUUAGCUUCUCAUCGUAGUUGUGCACAGUGAACCGCGCUAUACGUUUAAACUGGUCAAGAUAGGAAACAAGAAGGUCGCGGGCUUGAUAUGCACCAGAGCCGGCAAAUCGAAGCCCAAUAGCAAAACAGAGGCCGGUAAUGAUGUUGAAAAACGGCAUGUCAUCAGUGCUUAGAUGACGGACUGUCGUAAGGCGAUAUUUACGCUUAUAAAUAGAUGGGAGAUUGUUCUUGAUCCAUCUAUCGCUUGCGAUAAUAGAAUCCCACAUUAUCAAGUGUUUGGCCAAUGUUCGAAGCAGGAAAAUGUCUGGCCGCACAUAGUCAAACUGAGCAACCGUGUCUGGGAUAUCGAUCUUUUCAGCGACAGUCGCAUCGUUUGAUUUCAUGAAUAUUAUCGUCAAUGCAACAGUCGCUCCUGCAGUGGCU
rnacentral:sRNA from 2 species